AAACAAACAUUUUUUUCACGUCGCUCAUUUGCUAUGCCCGUACAGUUCUAUGCCCGUUCGACAUAGAGGGUGUUGAAUUUGAGCCAUCCAGCCAAUGCUCUAAUCACUGCUAUGCGCUAAUUGGCUGCAGCAGUAAGUGGGAGAUUAAUGACCAGAUGAUGCCCUGCAAUCUCACUUAAUGGACCUGAGGAUUCAUUAUUUCCGCUGUGUGUAAUUUUGCCCGGGCUAUGAAAGGACACUAAGCAAACUAAGUGGAAAACCAAUUAGGAGAUACAGCCUCGGUCACCUCAGUGGCAGUGGCAGUUUAAACCGUCAUCAACGUGUGAGGACAACCCAUGAGAGCACCUCACAAAAAUAUUGAAGGAAAAAUAGAUGUAGAUCUAGCAGAUGCUCAGCAGGCAGCAAUUCUCGAAAUAAACUUUAAUCUGUGUGUUUUUGAGUCUUCCCUCCAAUAGAUGCACCCAAGCGAAGACCAAAAAAUAAGACCACACAAUGUUCUUCCUGCUUGCAACAAAACCAAGCCAAGGAAGCAUGUUUUUAGUGUUAGCUGUGGGGACUGUGGGGACGACAGUUGGAUGUUUUCAGCUUCACUCAUGAAAAACCAGAUUAAUUCAAUUACGUUUCAGAAGAACUGGGGAUGCAACCCUUAUUAGAUACAGAACAAGAUCAUGGAUGCUUAACAGAGAUAGCAGUCAAGGUCCAAUGCUGGCCAAAGGAGUGGAAUAACAGCUAUGAUUGAUGUGUUGUGGAACUCCGCAGGGCGGUUUGGCUGGCACAGUAUGGAGCGGAUGAUUUUUGAAAGGUCAGUGUAAUAAGACAGUCCAUCUCUGCUGUAAUGCCGAGCCAGAGAUAAUGGAUGGGGAGAUCUCGUGGAGCCGUCUAUUCCAUUAAGUUGCAUUAAUGCGUUCAGGAGAGCCUUGGACUCGUAUCUCCUUUCAUAGCAGUUUGCUCGCGCUGAUGGUCAGUGCAGAAAUGCCCAGAUACCUUCCACUGGCCAUUCUAGAAGGCAGAAGAAGGACUUUGUCUAAUUUCUGUGAGUGAGGCCUCAGCAAGGGCAUUUUUUCUUUUGGCGGGGGUGGGGGGCACAAUAAUAUAGCAUGAUGAUGAGAAAAAUAAUUUCAUGGAAUAAAGAUAGGGAUUUCAUGUUCUGAUUUGGAAAUCCUGAUCAGUGCUCUGAUUCCGUUCUUCUGCCGUUCUUCCCAGGGGGGAGGCCCCCAAACCUCCUUAGAGUGGCAGUUCUUGGAGUUUAUGCAUUUCAAUACCCCUAAUAUUCAAACUAAAGUUAUUCCCUUGGGCCUUAGUCACUCACAGCGAAGCAUUACAUCACAUUGGCCUGCCUGUACAACAGCUAGCCCCAUCCGGUGACAAGCCCCUGCAGGUAUCUGCACAACAUACUUUUUAAAUGUAAAUUUGUGAUUUUAAAAACUCCCAAUAAAACCAUUAGGGUUUUUUUCACAUAACCUUAUUUAAUGUAUAUUUACUUAAAAGAAACUCAAGGUUACAGACGGGUGACAAAUUAAAAAACCGACAUAAAGUGUCUUAGUAAGGGCAACCACGAGCCGCCAGAAUUGUUUUAAUGCACCGUGGAUUAGAUUCUGCAAUUCUCUGGAACUCCACUGGAGGGAUGGAACACCAUUCUUCCAAAAGAUAAUCCCUCGUUUGGUGUUUUGAUGAUGGUGAUGGAGAGCGCUGUCUAACAUGUCGGUCCAAAAUCAUCCAUAGGUGUUCAAUUGGGUUGAGAUCUGGUGACUGUGAAGGCCAGAGCAUAUGAUUCACAUCAUUUUAAAACUCAUCAAACCAUUCAGUGAUCUCUCAUGCCCUGGGGAUGGGGCCAUUGUCAUCCUGGAAGUGACCACUUCUAUCAAGAUAGAAAUGUUUCAUCAUAGGAUAAAGGUGACUCAGAAUAAUUUUGUAUUGAUUUGAAGUGAUCCUUCCCUCUAAGGGGACAAGUGGACCCAAACCAUGCCAGGCAAAUACCCCCCACAGCAUAACAGAGCCA